rnacentral:miRNA from 1 species
AUUUUAUUAUAUUUUAUAUGUUGAUUGUAAGGUUGUUUGUAAAAUCAUGUAAUUUUAAAAAUAUAUAUAUAUAUAUAUAUAUAUAUAUAUAUAUAUAUAUAUAUAUAUAUUUUUAAAAUUACAUGAUUUUACAAACAACCUUACAAUCAACAUAUAAAAUAUAAUAAAAU